CCAAGCCCACAGGCCACAGCGUCCCAUUCCACUCUCCUCCGUCCUCCCUCGUCAGCCGCCGCCGCAGCUAUUCUACCUCCCUCCUCUCUGUCCUAUGACCACGCCGCUGGGAGGAAGUGGCCGUUCGUGGCUCCAUACCGCUGUCGGGGUGCCAUGCAAGAGGUCAGGGGCCGCCACCACCGUGAGCCAGGACGAAGGGGACGCCCGUUGGCUAGCCUCCGGGCAGGAAGCCGACGACGAGUACGCCGUCAACAAGCCGCCAAGAGGACCUACCGGCCAGUCCCCUGUCGCUGAGCAAGGGCCGCCGGUUGCGUCGUCGUGGGAGGAGGCGCACAGAGGAGCAGCGGAGGAGGAGAUGAGGACACGCCCCCGGACUCCCUAUUUCCUUUUGGGCACCUUCCCUGAGGCGUCUCUCUCUCUUGGGUAGCUUCCAUACAAGAUUUGGACGAGGAAAAGGAGACCCGAUGCGGGGCAACGACGAGCGCGCUGAGCUGGCUGGCGCACACAUCCAUCGACGGCGAGCACAUCGAACGGCCACACAUCGAGGUGAACUUCACCCAAUCUCUCUCUCUCUCUCUAUAUAUAUAUAUGUGUGUGUGUGUGUGUGUGUGUGUGUGUGUGUGUGUGGUCACGGUGCAGCAUCCUGGACGGCGGCAGUAGCGGCAGUCAAUUUCACUGCACGCGUCGAGCGACGUGAGCGCAUCUGAUGCAGGGAAUAGGAAGGAGGCCAUGCGUGGACCUUUUUUCCUAUUGGUGCCAUGAGAUUUGUGAUAGAUGCGUGGAAGGCAGGCGGAUUCAGGAUUGGAUUGUCACUUUUUGAGAAGGGGGUACAGAAAUUCUUUGAGGGCAAGGGAAGCUUGCGCUACUUUUUGAAAGUUAAAGGUUGGGCUAGCUCAUUGACUGAUGGCGCUGGGACUGGAGGAGCACAAGGAUCCUCUUCUUUUCCAGCUCUUCGGGGUCGUUACGGCCGUGCACCAAUAUAUAAAUAAAUCUACUUAAGCUGUCUGAGCCGCAAGAAUGGACAUUUAAAUAACUCCAGAAUAUUGGGUACAUGGAGUUCAGAUUUGCAGAAGAUCAACCUCCAGAUGAUUAUGUAGUAGAUCUUGCAGGUUUCCAAGUAUGCCACUCUCUUGGUCGUGGUACUGAUUCAGGCAUGGGUACACUUUUGGUAUCAAAGAUCAGGGAGGAGUACCCUGGCGCAUGAUGCUAGCAUUCUCUGUUUUCCCUCACCCGAAGUAUCUGAUAUGUGGUUGAACCUUACAAUGCCACUCUUUCAGUCCAUCAGUUGGUUGAGAAUGCAGAUGAGUGCAUGGUUCUUGAGAAUGAGGCUCUUUAUGACAUAUGUUUCAGGACUCUCAAGCUGACCACUCCGAGUUGUAAGCGAAAUCUGUACCUUCUUAUUAUUAUUCUCUACGGAUGAAUAUGAGCAUGAUGUCAAGUGGAUCUUCAUAAUUCUGAAUAUUUGUAACUGCAUGUUAUUAUAUGCUUAAUAACACAAGUAUUAAUGCAUACUUUCUAUUCACAACCGAAAAAUUGGAAAAUGAUGUAGUUCAUUGGCUUGCUUUUUCUAUAAUGUCUGUCCAAACUAUUCUUGUAGUGCAGUUUUGGUAUUCUUAGACAUGAUCUGAAACUCUAAAUGGAUUCUUGUGCUUGAGUUAUUUGCUCAGGGCUUUCAUUUAUAUGGACUUGUAUUUUGGUUUCAAUGUGAUGCAUGCUUAUUGCCAAUGGACCUCCCAUUGCUUAUAUCCUACCAGUAUAGCCAUGCUCCCCGUCACCUUAUCUGUUGAAAGUGCCUCCCCAUGGUGUUGUUCGUCAAAAGCUUUCUUCCUCUUUCUUCAAAAUUACAGGAGUUGUUGCGCAAAAGUACAUGGUAUUUUUCCUUCAAUAUGUGUAGUUCUGUAAUAUACAAUAGUUCUGACCUGAACUCUGCUGACCAACAAAAUAUAUACCUCAUUACUCUAUGAUCCACUAACACUUUUUUAGAGUCUGAGGUUGCUUUGGCCUAAUGAAGGGUAUGCAGAGCAAUGCCUCUGCCUUAGUUCAAGAGAGCAAGGCAGGCAACAAAGAGGAGGGUCUGGCCGAAGUCAAGAAACAAGAGAACUCGACACCGACCUAGAGAAACUCUAUGUAGCAGGCCUUCGCCGGAGAGAUGGCCGAACGACAAUUGUCAAGUGCCUCUGGUGUACACGCUUUGUUGGCUUGUUUAUCCUUGCAUGUGGAAAUUUGGCUUGUCAGUUUUGCAUCGACUGUGGAAACCUCCUGGUGCACUAUCCAGUUGUAGUUCCCUUUCAUGUAAUUGUCUUCCCCCAAGUAAAUGUAUAACUAUGAUCUCACAUAUUGUCUCUACCCUGUUUAUGAGGAAACAAUUGGACUAAUAGUUAUAACAAUUUGGUGUUGGGAAAAAAGAUGGAAUGCUCAUUUAGUGACUUUUUUUCUUUUGCACCGUAUAAUGUACCUUUACUAUUUAAGUGAAGAUCCUUAUGUAUACCUAAAUCGUAUCUAAAACUUAGAGCUA